GUCCUCCUUCACUACCUUUAUCUCCCCAAGCUACAAAGUCUUGCAGUCUGCAAACUUUGGCUUGAGUAAUCUGGUCUCCUUGAAUUUCAGAACCAGCACAGGAGAGUUGGGAGGUUCUGCCUGGAAGGCAAAAGACAGGAGGGACUCACCUACUGCACAAAGGACGAGUCAGAAGCACCCAGCUGUACCCACUGUCUGCCAGGGGCUUUAGGUCUGAGGAGCCAGAACAGUGUCUCUGGCUACUGCCCCAGCAAUUUGUGCCAAUUCCAGACAACUCCAGAUGUGUGUCUUUCCUACCAGUAUCUGCAGAGACUUGGCUCUGGAGACGGGGAUCUGGUUGCCAACAUACUGCCUCCUGGUGCUUUCAGCCCCAAGGGUCGAGUUCCUGCUGCCACACUCUCCUCCCUGGCUGUGCUGCCAGACAUGCUGCGGGAUGGAGGGCAGACAUGCUGUCUUUCAAUUCCCUGCCAUCUUCAAGGGUGUCAUCAGAAUCAUGGGGG